rnacentral:ncRNA from 1 species
AAUUAUAGUUGAAGUACCCUAUGGCAUACUCUCGGUAAAUGCUCAAACGACUUUCAACAAAAGGGUACUUGUACCAAAAAUGGACACAGGUGUUUAGGUAAAGAAUACCUCAAGGCACAAAAUAACUCUCUCUAAGGAACUUGGCAAAGUAGUUUUGUAACUUCUGGAGAACACGUGCUACCUCACAAAGAGGGUCGCAGUGACCAGGCCAAGGCAACUGUUUACUAAAAACGCCUCGCAAAGUCAUAAUACUAUGUACGGGGUUGAUGUCUGCCAGUGUCGAAAGGUCAAGAAAGUUGGUGACUUGAUGUCGUACAUACAACUUUCGUCAAAUAUGGCUUUCCACA